rnacentral:rRNA from 1 species
ACGCUCGACACCUACGUGAGGCAGCAGUUGGGAAUAUUGGACAAUGGAGGAAACUCUGAUCCAGUGACGCCGCGUGAAGGAAGAAGGUCUUCGGAUUGUAAACUUAUUUUGUCAGGGAAGAAAAAAUGACUGUACCUGAAGAAAAAGCACCGGCUAACUACGUGCCNGCAGCCGCGGUAAUCUGAGGCGGGCGUGGCGAAGGC